rnacentral:sRNA from 2 species
UGUAUCUGAAGCCUGACGAGGAUGAGAACCUCCGGGGGCAAGAGGUUCGACCCGAGCGAAGCGAGAGAACGUUGCGUCAGCAACGGCCCGCAGGGCGAGUCAUCCUCUAUCACCGACCA